AUCACUUAGCUUCUCCACUGCUAUCCGUUCCAUCCGAUCCUCGGUUCCUCGCUGGAGCCAUGGUGUCGAUUGGAGAUCUCCAGCUAGUCUUAGGGCUCAGACCAGGACUGCUGCUCCUGUGAUUGAACGCUUCCAGCGCAAGAUCGCUACUAUGGCUUCUGAGAAUACUUUCAAGGGAAAUCUUAACCAGUGUUCCCAAGCCUGGGGGUGGCGAGUUUGGAAAGUACUAUAGCCUACCUGCUCUGAAUGAUUCAAGGACCGAUAAGUUGCCGUACACCGUCAGGAUCCUUCUUGAAUCAGCAAUCCAUAACUGUGACAACUUCCAAGUCACCAAGGAAGAUGUUGAGAAGAUUAUUGAUUGGGAGAAUACUUGUCCCAAACAAGUCGAGAUUCCUUUCCAGCCUGCCCGUGUUCUCCU